UGGAAUGUAUCUCUGAAACAAGAGUAAUUUUCACUCUAAGUCACUUUAGCACUUUUUAUUACAGCAUAAGACACUUAUUGUUCCUAGGGUAGUUUUGAGUAACUUUUACUUCUUUUUCCCUAACUAAACGUAACUACAAAAGAUUCUAGUUUCCUUUUGUUUUAACUAUUUUUAUUAAAAAAAUACUUGCCUUUUUGCUUUACUUUCUUUUUCAUUUACUGUAAGUUUCUUCUCCACAAAAACCACAUAUGUAGUUCAAUCUUCUUCUUAUCCACUUCGACCAACAAGCACCACCGCAAAGAAAGAUCAGAAGUUGACCGGGGAACGUCUUCGUCUCAAUCUCAAUACAAUUUGAUGUAGUUCCGCCGCCGGCUCAAUCCCCGGCUCUAUUUCAAUCCAUCAUCACCGGGUGGUCAUUCUCAGCGCCGUCGCGUCACGUCUUCCUCCGCGUCUUUAAAUUGGUGGUUCGUCAAGCUCUGUCGUGCCUUCCUCCAUGACAUCUCCUCCUCUCCAACCGCCGGCGAACCAAACGGAGGGUCGAUCCGAAUUGUGAACCUCGAAGGGAUCCAUUCCCAAACCAAGUUUCAUAUAUUUCCACAACUAGUCCUUUAGUUUUCAAUUUUUUAUAAUUUGACCCUAAAAGUUGCAAAUUUGCACAGUUUCUUUUCAAUUUGGCUCCACAAUUGUAAUUGUGUAAUACAACUCCUAUUUUAUAAAGAUUACUAUGCAAAAAAAAAUAUAAUCUAAAAUGAAAAGCCAAAACCAUGAAAUACAUUAUUAUCGUUUAAAUAUUAGCUAUAUGUAUGAAGAUUCCUGAAUGUUCAUAUGUACAUGAAUUAAUGUACACAAAAUUAGUAUCCACAUGUACAAGAAUACACACGUACACCAAUUAAAUUGUGCAAGAAUUCACAUGUACAC
rnacentral:lncRNA from 1 species